rnacentral:rRNA from 1 species
GCUUACCGGCACACCGGCCUGAGUACGCCUGAUCUCGUCCGAUCUCGGAAGCUAAGCAGGUCGGCCUGGUUAGUACUUGGAUGGGAGACCGCCUGGGAAUACCAGGUGCUGUAAGCU